rnacentral:rRNA from 1 species
UACACACCGCCCGUCACACCAUGGGAGUUGGCUUUACCCGAAGCAGGUGUGCUAACCGCAAGGAGGCAGCCUACCACGGUAAGGUCAGUGACUGGGGGUG